AGGUACAUACGAAAAGGCAUUUUUCUACUUUGACAUGGCAGAGGUCGGCAGUUCAAAUCUGCCUGGUCCUACCA
rnacentral:tRNA from 1 species